UGCGGAACAGGUUGCAGGCGUCGAUCACGGUCUGGUGGCAGUCGACGUCCGCCAUGAUGUAGACGGUCCACGGCGAGGUGGUGGAGGCGCCGACCAUCAGGCGAUCGUCAUCCAGCGCGCCGAGCACAGUGACGCCAGGCAGCGCGCCGAGCGAGCCCAUCAUCUGGCUGAAACCCUUCCAUACGGCGAGGCCUUCGCCGGUGGGCAGGUCGAAAAAAUUCUGCGUAAUGCCGAUGCAGAACAGUACGCGCAAGGGUUCCUGGGUAACUUGGGUCAUGGUCAAUCCUUAAUCGCUGAACUGGGUGAAGUCGUAACAAGGUAACCGUA
rnacentral:rRNA from 1 species